GAAUCAAACAUGACUGAAACUCCUCUCUCUCUCUCUCUCUCUCUCUCUCUCUCAAUCCCAAAUUCUCUCUGAUUUCGCCAUGGAUGAGAGUAAGCAGAGGUUCGAAGCUCUCGGAGAAGCAGAGAGGCAAACUGAAGACGAUGAAGGAGAAGAAGAUGAUGAUGAUGAUAGUGGCGGUGGUGGCGGUGGCGGGAACGAUGUAGAAUUGGAGGAAGUUGAUGAUGAUGACAGUGGCAGUGGUGAAGUUAGGAGUCAACUCGGUAAGUUAGACUGUUCGUUACCACCUCCAAUCAAAGCACAGCUGGGCGGUUCUCAAUUGGAAACCCUAGCCAACUCCGAUCUUCCAUGCGAUUUUGUUGCUUCUUCUCGCCAUUUCUCGGAGGUGCCGGUGGUUUAUGCUCUUCUAUGGCUGCUGGAUUCGGCUGCAUUCAAGAUGAAAAAAAUAUCAUCAGUAGAUAUCCAAGUCAACAGAACUCUGGUUGUGUUUUAUAGAUUGCUUCCCUUUUGAGCGGGAAGUUGGCUUUACAGUUGCCGAAGUUACAGAGCUUGUGAGGAAAAAAAGAAAAAGAAAAUCGUUUAGGAAAUUUCAAGAGAAAAUAGCUUGUGCAUUACAUAAAAAUGGUUAGAUCUUUAUGAUACUUGAGAAAGAUCAUCAAGCCAUUGAUAUCCUUUUAGCAGAGAUUGAUAUAUAAGAGCUUUUUGCUUUCAAACAUUGGAAGGGAAGGAAGGUUAAGCUUGCUCUUUGUAAAGGUAAUUUCUAAUCUUUGAAUAUGCAAGCUUGCAUCGUUAGGGAAAUUCUAUUUUUGUCUCAAAUAAAUUUCAUUCAUUUGCAAAGUGAACCUUAUUCAAUAUUUGGGAAGUCCAAAUUUGAUCUUCUGAUUUGGCUUGCUUUUGGUUUCUAGGUUGCUAUGUUUGGAAUGAAAUGUUAACACUUUUGAAAAUUUCUCUCUGUAAAUGUUGAAUAGCGAAUGUAUAAUAAUGCUUGGUUUGUCUAAAAAUCUUGUUCAUAUGUUGAGUUUUAUGUUGUUUAAGUAUUGACAGUUAUGCAUGUCCUAUUAUGAGAUGGCUUUUUAGUUUCUUGUUUUUAAAAUGACUUUGGCUUGUGGAUUGUGAUUCUAGACCUUGAUGAGAGAACUUGAUGCUGAGGCAUCUUUCUGACCAACUGAAAUUUCACUCACACUAAUGACUCUGGUCUUUGAUUGUCAUAUAUAAAUUUUGUUUGUAUGGCAUUUCCCUUCUCAUAUUAUAAAGCGUGAUGCUAUUUGAAUUGUGAUGUGCCCAGUUUUAAUUCUUUGCAACCUAGGAGAUGUAGAUGUGUCUACAUAUUAUAAAUUUUGUUUGUGUAUUUUCCUGAUUCCUUCUUUGCCAAGCCCUGUUUGGAGAUUUGAUUUUUAGUUCUACUGGCAUUGGUGCUGAUAGUGUUGAUCGAGAGAGCACUGGGAAUGGUCAGCUUUUUGCCAAUUCCCUGUAUUAAUGAAUACAAAUAGGGAUGCUAUCGAGUAUGAAAAAGAGGCACAUGCUAGUAACCUUGAACAAGGUGAGGCAAUGGAGAAAAGUAUGAUCUCCAUGGGUUAUGAAAUUGAGAAACUACGUGCCGAACUUGCUAAUGUAGAGAAGAGAGCAAGGGCUGCUGCUGCGGCAGUUGUAGCAGAGACUUCAAGUCCUGGAUAUGCUGCAAGGUUCAGAAACCUUGAAAUAAGGUAUGGUGGGAGUUCAUAUCCUGAUGUUUAUGCUAUGCAUCAAGUAUGUGCUAAUUGAUGUUUGUCUCUUAAUAAGAUGAAAAUUCUAGUGUUUGUUGUUGUUAGUGAUUAAUUUGAACUCCAGCCAGAGUAACAAUCAUUUGACCAGGAUAGCGAGUUUCCAAACCUUUCCAUGGUCACUAUAAAUGAUCCCCCAAUUGAAAGUUGUAGAUUUGAGAUCAUGAUUGGGCAAUACUAUAGUGACACUGAAGGAAGAUUUGACUCCCAUCUUAAAAUCAUUGUGCUUUGAAGUGUUUCCUUUUUC